AUGCAACGGAAGUGACGUUAAAGUUUCUGGGCCGGGAAUCGCGGCAUCGUGGUCAUGGUAUGUGAAAAUUAGCUAUCAGGUUCGAGAGACGUCAAGGAUUUCACUCCGUGCUGAUGAGGGGGGGGGGGAUUACACGAGAGAUCGUACAGCGGGUACAGUAAUAAUGAACGAACUUGGUGUGUGCGAUGAUAAAUAGGCUCGGUGAAAUCAUUGACAUCCACAUCUCGGAUUAGUGAGAAAGAAAAGUCUCGGUUAACAGCGAAACAGGUCCUCGACCGCGAGACGUGACUAGGAUAUCGUUCUACGGCUAUAUCGAUCGCUGAUAGACCUACGCAGCUGCGCUAGACAUAGCGAGCGAAUCUAGGUAUUGCGAGGUAAGCGAGAGAUGCGACGUGAUAAGCGCAAAUAACUGGCAGUAGCUCUUGCAGAGACAGAGAGAGAGAGAAAGAAAGAGAGAGCAAGAGAGAGAGAGACGGAGUAACGGUAACGAUAUAACGAUCGCGAAUGUACAAAGUAUUCAAACGAGAGGCGGCGCAUACAGAGCGGCUCGUAAGUUCGCCAAGCUCGAUAUGAAUCACGCGCGUACGCGACUCGUGAAGCACUUCUGUGAGGCAACUCACAGCGUGAGCGUUAUCAUGAGUUACAUCCCGCGGGAGAACCAGCGAUCGACUCGUAGCUCGAUUUUCAUCACAUCGCUCAAGACGUUGGGAAGAUGGGGCACGCAAAACGUGCAUCGCCGGGUCCCAGGGGGUCGCGGACCCCACCGGUCUCCGAACGUCGCCGUAUGACGUUUUACGGUUCACGCGCGGUUCACGGGGGUGUCACAUCAGGGUAUCACCGACUCGACAAGGGGGUGGAGGGAACUCCGUGCGUUCCUUUUACGGCCGAAUCGUUCGGGACUCGUCGUCGGGGGGGUCCUGGGGGGAAUCACACGACUGAUGAGGAGGGAAGGGAGACAGACAGAGAGGAGAACGUUGCUGUGCGAGCUCUUUGUCGUAAUGCCACUAGCGCCCACGCUUCGGUCCCAAUCUAGCGAUGCGCAACACGUAUACGUGUAUAAGAGGCGUACACAGAUAUACCACGCACUGAGUGACGUUCCACGUUUCACAAGAAGCUCAAGCACUAGUUGCUGCACAUCACGCACAAAACAGACGCACACAUACACGUGCGCGCGCCCGCACGCACGUAUACCGUGAAUGCAUGAUGCAGGAAAGAGAGAUAGAGAGAUAGAGAGAGAGAGAGAGAGAGAGAAAGAGAAAGAGAGAUAAAUGCGCGCGGCCACUACAUGAAUGUGUGAGUGAAGAACGGCGCGUGAACAUAGUAGGUGGGUAUAAUGAGUAACAUGACUGAAUAAUACGUGGAUGAGAGUAGCUGAUACUCUUCCAGUAUCAUCCGCGCGGUGGUAUCGCUCGCGAACCACAGGAGUUUAAUGAGCAUGUGGAAAUGAAGGAUGAAGAGGAAGGUUGAAGGAAAGUCGAUGAGGAAGACGAGAGGGACGGCUGCCGGUCGAUUCUGUACGAAUAUCACUUGUCCGACACAUGGGAUACAUGGGGAAAUUGCAUCUAUUGUGGUACCGGUUGGUCGCGUGGGCAAAAUUUCACGAGGAUAGCACCAGCUGGAUAAAUAACCCGUAGCUUCGCAUCCAAAGGUGGCGAAAUGUUCCAGCAUCGCGGAAGUGGCUUCCUUUGUUUGAUGCAGCCAGCGCGUAGCCACCAACAACGUAUGCAUACAAUAUUUAGGAUUUACUUUACCGAGGGGCAAAUCGAUUUAAUAUUCGUACAGGUUGUGUACAGGUCUGGCGAUAGGUUUUACACUUUGAUCAAUUCGCACGGGUGUUAUUCGGGGGUUGUGUCAUCACUUCUGGUAACGCGGGAUCGUUUUCAACGCACACGAUCAAAAAGUUUCACUUUGAUCGUAUCGCAUAACGGAUAAAAUAAUGUAAACAUAUAAGGAUAGGAUAUUGCAUACGAAAAAAUUGCGAGUUUCGUGCGUCACUGAUAAUCGCGUGUGAAAAAAUCUUCUCUCUGGGAAAAGGCACAUUUUCGAGGAAAUUAAGGAAAAGGGAAUUAAAUCGCAAGCGAAACUCUCAGUAAUUCUUGUAUUUACUUCGGUUUUCACGGCGUUCGACAAUCGUGCGAUCAUCGCAAAAUCAGACUUUCGCAACGCCGAAAACUCCAAAUGUAAAUAAUAAGAGUCGAAUAAGAAUCGAUACUCUCGCUCGAUUAACCAUGACAUUAUGACUCCCACAGGCAGCACGUGACUCCUUUAACCGUUGAUACGCUUCCGGCUAUCUAUCUAUGUGCUUUCCAAAGUGGUGUGUCUGUGUCAGCAUCCUGUCGGCAAGUGCUCUCUUUGGAAAUAUCAAGUCCUGACUCAAACAGGAGGAAGAGCCACACGUUCUCAAGCAGGACAACCGCGAAUUACUGUCAAGUGCUUCGAGAAACUCAAGAGCGCCCCUCGACAAGAAACACACAGGCACUCAGGGUAAAACGUAAGAAAAACGAACAUUACCGAACAUUAUCCGUUGCCGAUGCAGUUAUGCAAAAAUGCAAAUGACUUUUACGCGUCCAUUUAUAUCGGCAAAAAUAAUUUGAUACAUCUGCAUUAAAUUUCUAGUCCAUUACAUAAUAAAAACAAUUUUGAUUGAAACAAGU